rnacentral:rRNA from 1 species
UACAGAGGUGGCAAGCGUUGUUCGGAAUUACUGGGCGUAAAGGGCGCGUAGGCGGCCUACUAAGUCAGACGUGAAAUCCCCCGGCUUAACCUGGGAACUGCGUCUGAUACUGGAAGGCUUGAGUAUGGGAGAGGGACGUAGAAUUCCAGGUGUAGCGGUGAAAUGCGUAGAUAUCUGGAGGAAUACCGGUGGCGAAGGCGGCAUCCUGGACCAUUACUGACGCUGAGGCGCGAAAGCUAGGGGAGCAAACGGG